rnacentral:lncRNA from 1 species
ACCCCCACCCGUGUCGGCCCCGCGGCACUGCGGUUUCGCGUUCCUGGAUGCCCCGCACCAAGCCCGCCGCGAGGUCGCAGGGCAGAGACUGCCUUCAGCUUUUGGUCCUCCGUUCCCUUAGUCUCAAGCAUCACCACCCCCCGCCCCCCGCCUUUACCAUCUGGGUUUGGGUACUUCUGGGUGGAGAGCAGAACCCAAGCCUGUCCUUGCCGCCCUCCUCCCGGUUCUCCUCCAGCACUCCAGUCCCAGGUAAACGUCUCCCAGCGGGCGAAAGGUGCGCCGCGGCUCCCGCCCCUGCCUUGCAAGCAGGCCCCUCUCCAAGCACUGCGCAGCUCCUUCCCAGGGCGCCCUCGGUCCGUUUUCCGAAGCCUCGGGUCGGGAGGGCUUGCUUGAGCGCCAGAGACCUAUCUAUCCCUGCACCCCGGGUCCCGCCCUGGCUCCAGCUCCCACCUGGCCUCCGGUCCUCCGCCGCUGCAGCAGCCCGCAGACGCGCCGCCGCCUCCAGUUGCUGCACCGUGCCCCGCGCCCGCAGUUUUCACCAGGGGUGGGAGAGGGGGAGCGGGGAGGGCCCGGGGGCUCGUCCAAUCAGAGGCUGA